CAGUAGCCGCGGUAACACGUAGGUGGCAAGCGUUGUCCGGAAUUAUUGGGCGUAAAGGGCUCGCAGGCGGUUUCUUAAGUCUGAUGUGAAAGCCCCCGGCUCAACCGGGGAGGGUCAUUGGAAACUGGGAAACUUGAGUGCAGAAGAGGAGAGUGGAAUUCCACGUGUAGCGGUGAAAUGCGUAGAGAUGUGGAGGAACACCAGUGGCGAAGGCGACUCUCUGGUCUGUAACUGACGCUGAGGAGCGAAAGCGUGGGGAGCGAACAGGAUUAGAUACCCGGGUAGUCCCUGUCUCUUAUAC
rnacentral:rRNA from 1 species